UCCUCGUUUAAGCGAGGCAGUCUGUCCAGAGUGCUUCGAACUCUCGUUCAAGUGGCAACAGGACACAAGGGUUGCGCUCGUUGCGGGACUUAACCCAACAUCUCACGACACGAGCUGACGUCAGCCAUGCAGCACCUGUGUAUCCUGAUAUUGCUAUCUCGUCAGGCUUUCACCCUUCUACUAGAUACAUGUCAAGGCCAGGUAAGGUUCUUCGCGUUGCAUCGAAUUAAGCCACAUACUCCACCGCUUGUGCAGGCCCCCGUCAAUUUCUUUGAGUUUUAAUCUUGCGACCGUACUCCCCAGGCGGGGUGCUUAAUGCGUUAGCUGCGCCACCAAGCAGCAUGCUGCCUGACAGCUAGUCAUCAUCGUUUACGGCGUGGACUAC
rnacentral:misc_RNA from 1 species